rnacentral:lncRNA from 1 species
CUGGUCCAGUGUCAGCAGGUAGGAGGGUGACCAAUGAGGCCACUGGAGGAAUUCAAGCAGAUGACUGACAUAAUCUGAUUUUCAUUUGUGUCACUGCAUUGAGAGAAGAUUAGCAGGUAAUCAUAACAGUUUUUCCUGUGUAAGUGUCAUACAUGCCUCAUUGGGGAGGGGAAAUAGCACUGUGGAUUGGCUUCUAAGUUCAAAUCACACCUGUGCCACCUACUAGUUGUGUGACCUUGAAGAGGUAGGUUCAGUCUCUCCAUCCAACAGAGCCACCAAGCAGCAAUUGGCUGCUGGAGGAGAAACACAGUACAGCCACAUGGGGGCGCUCCUUCCUCUGGGAAGCGUUUCAAUGGGCAACGUUGAGUUCAGAGAGGACCUACCAGUGCAGGUUGAAAGGUUCAGAAGUUUGGAAGCAAGAAGGCAAUCAGCUUUCCCAUCCAGACCAAAAGUUUCAUACCCACUUUUUCCAUGAACCAAAGGGCACAGGGUGAACAGCCUGGCAUUCAGCAGCCCUCCCCGGGAAGUCCUGGCCAGAAAGGGGCAGGCUGGGGAACCGCAUUACCUGGUUUCUGAUGGAGCCACGACAGGAAGUUUAUAUGCCAAGGUGAUCAGAGCAGUGGCUGUGAAAGAUGCCAAGAACAGCAUGGCCCCAAGGAGGAUGAGGAUCUGUGUACUCCUGCAAAGAAGAGAGGAUACGGAGAGGAGUGCCCUUCAGUUUCUUGCCCCACACAUGCGCUUCCUAUGGCACGAAAGGCUGGAAAUCCUGACCAUCAGAGGUGGAAAGAACAUGUUCAUUUAGAACCAGGGCUUGGCUCCAGAUGAUGUUUUGUGGAGAACCCCAGAGUUCCCAUGGAUGAUUGACAUGGUCAAAAUGAGUUCCACAGACAGUCCAUGCUUGUGCCAGAUGAGAUGGUUACCAGUAUUUUUUUCGUCAAUGUGAGGAAGCGCCUGGGGGCAAUUCUCUCCAAAGGGCCCUGGCACCUCUGCUUUCAAGGAUCUAAGCAUCACCAGUACUCCAGAGAAAAUACCAGAAUCAGGUUGGCCCUUGGAAAGUUCACCACACUGCUUGAAGAAAUGAGACUCCAGGUUUGCACCCUUCUGCCUUUUCAAAGCCAGCAACUUGAGACUCACCGCAUUCUUGACCGACACAAAGUUAUUUAGCAACAGCAGAUUCGUCCACCAUGCUUGCCGGCAGUUAUCCCAGUGGAAUUUGGGCAUUUCCCAGACAGGUCCCCAGGGAACAAGAGAGAACAGUCCAACCAACAAGCACAUUGAAUACAGGUGAAGAGGCUGCAACCUGGCAGGAGAGAACCGAGAGAAAGAAGGUGACUUUCCACCGGGGUCCCUCCAGUCAUCUCAGUGGGCACGUGGCGGGUGGGGCAUAAGGUGCUCUAAAACAGAUUGUUUGUACCGUGGGCAGCUGCCACCCAGCCACACCUCAAACGUUCAAGCAUCCACGAGUUCCAGAUCACUUACUGAGCACCUAUCAUGUACUGGCUCAGGUGCUACUGCUGCAAAAAUACUGCUAUUUAUUUCUCUUUUUUUAAGAGACAGGGUCUCACUCACUACGGCCCUGACUUCCACCUCCUGGGCUCAAGCGAUCCUCUCACCUCAACCUCCCAAUUAGCUAGAACUGCAGGCGCAUGCCACCAUGUUCCACUAAAAAUACUGUUAUUUAUUGAGCAAGUCAUAUAGGCCAACCACUGUGGGAGGAGCCUGCUAGAGAUUUCUAAACCUCAAAACAAUCCUGCAAGGUAGCUAUGACCUCCAUUUUAUGAAGAAAUUAUAGCUAAGAGAAGAUAGGGUGACUUGCCCAAGGUCACCAACCACAUAGCAGUACCAAGAUCUGACACUGGUUCAUGUUCUUUCCACAUGGCCUCACACGAUGAAAAACUCUUUCUUCCUUCCCUCCCUCACUUGCUUCAUUUCUCCCUUCCUUCACGCCCUACCUCCUCCAAGCAAGAUCUGAAGCAGCUACAAAGGGGAAGAAUCAGGAGUAAGGUGUCUAGACCAGCGCUGUUCAACAGAAACAGGAUGCAAGCACAGCUGCCCCCAGUUUUACACUUUCCAGCAGCCACAAUUUAAAAGAGUGACUGGCUCCCCCUCUGCCAACACGGUUGCUAAGCAAAGCCUGGGCCUCGCUGUGUGUGUGGGCAUGCACCUCCCGGCCUGCAAGUUCAUCAAGAGAGGGCAACGAGAAAGACUGGCAGGAAAACAGGCUCUGAGCAAGAUAGCUAGCUCCAAGGGGCUAAGACCCAAAGACCUGAACACACUGCAACAGAGCAAAGCACGCACUAGUGUUGGAUGAAGUCAGCCCGAGAGGUGAUGCUGGUGAAACUGCACCGGGACGGCUCUCUGAGGACCACUGACAUAAGGCACGGCCCUCCCUGACCCCAGACCAACCCAGUGAGAAGUCGGAACUUCAUCAAGCACCUGUACCACUCUGUGGGCCAGAAUUUGAGAAGCACUGAAAUAAACAAUUUUGAUGAAUACAAUCAAUGUUUAAAAGGCCUGUGUUAUAGAGCCAUCCUAACUCAUGUAAUAAACGGAAGAUACAGUGGAGAGUCUCCUGUGACAACAGUACUGUCUAGAAAUGGACAAAGGCUCAGAUGAAUAAAUGUGGGUCAUUCCGCUUUUCUCAUUAGAGUGAGAAUGGUAACACAUAUGCAUACACAUAUCCCAAAACAAACACCACAAGCCCUACAGCACUGAAAACGUAGUUCAACCUUAUUACCUGAUCAGGAAAAAUGUAUCAACUCCAAGAUAGAAGGGACCACUCCAAGAGUAAACACACAGUGGGUUUCUAAGCACUCUGCUGUUCCAUUCAAGCACAUUAUCUGUAACAAACAUUAAAAAGCAGUGUCUUUUUGUUUCAUAGAAGAAAAUCAUGUGAUUUCUCUUUUCAGAAAAAGCAAGAGGAACACCUUCGACUUUCAGUUGUGCUGGGCAGGCUUUAAGAAUCAC